GACGAACGCUGGCGGCGUGCCUAAUACAUGCAAGUAGAACGCUGAAGGAGGAGCUUGCUUCUCUGGAUGAGUUGCGAACGGGUGAGUAACGCGUAGGUAACCUGCCUGGUAGCGGGGGAUAACUAUUGGAAACGAUAGCUAAUACCGCAUAAGAGUAGAUGUCGCAUGACAUUUGCUUAAAAGGUGCAAUUGCAUCACUACCAGAUGGACCUGCGUUGUAUUAGCUAGUUGGUGAGGUAACGGCUCACCAAGGCAACGAUACAUAGCCGACCUGAGAGGGUGAUCGUCCACACUGGGACUGAGACACGGCCCAGACUCCUACGGGAGGCAGCAGUAGGGAAUCUUCGGCAAUGGACGGAAGUCUGACCGAGCAACGCCGCGUGAGUGAAGAAGGUUUUCGGAUCGUAAAGCUCUGUUGUAAGAGAAGAACGAGUGUGAGAGUGGAAAGUUCACACUGUGACGGUAUCUUACCAGAAAGGGACGGCUAACUACGUG
rnacentral:rRNA from 1 species